rnacentral:rRNA from 1 species
CCUAGUUAUCGGUUGGAAAUACCUUAGUAAUAUGUGCCAAUGCCAACUGUUGUAUUUCUUCCUUACGACCCUUAUCUUUGUUCUAUCUCCGUGUGGCCAGGUAUACGAGGCUAUGCAUAUUGAACAUGUCGCCAUCUUCCCGUUGACUUAAAAAGCUAUACCUACAAAGUGUGCCAAUGGCGCGUGUUAUGCUUUGUUCAGUGCCCAAACGGGGUAGUAAGGUUCGGGGUAUCGCUUUCGGUUCGAGGCAAGAAGCGAACGAAAGUAGUAUCGCAGCUUCCUCAUGUAGAGCACGGAUUUGUUUGAAGGACACAAUCCAAGUCGUAAUAACCGCGCCUUGAGCAAUAUUGUAGUGGGUGCCGUCACGAUAUCCAAUACUGAGCAAUUCCACCAUAUCCUGGGCAGUUUUCUGAAGUAGUUGUAUAUACUCUUUGAUUGAAAUUCUGUUAAUUGCUAUAUAUGCUGAUGCCUGCCUGAUUGCUAGCGGUAGAUAGGCGAGCUCGCGUAACAGUCUGUCGGCCAAGUCUGUAUCCUGUAUUUCAUCUUUCUGCAUUACGGACUUCUGCAGGAGGGUUCUAGCAUCCUUUUUGUCCAUCUCAGGUAGCUCAAGAAUAUUGGUCUGUGCGACGGUGACGGCCACGUUACGAGACCGUGUCGUGAAUAGAAUAUAACCUUGCUCGCAAUCUGGAAUAUAAUCUGCGAUUCCUCCUGGCUUCUGGGCCGUUCUAUAUAAGGUCUUCAUGUCGUCGGCAUUAUCAAUGAUAAGAAACCACCUUCCUGCCCCUUUUGAGUUGAGAAAGUUCUUAAAAAUUUCUUUUGGGUCCUUAUUGUCGGCAUGCUUGAUGUUAAAUACUUUAAUUAUUCUAGUAUAGGCCUGCUUAAAGCUUGCCAUGCUCAGUGCGGGCAUCCAGAUGAUGGAGUACUGCUGGUGACUUUGGUUGUUAUUCUUGGCAAGAUGCGCAAGCUGAAGGGCGAUUUGCGUCUUGCCUACACCACCCAAGCCAACGAGAGCGGCUUGUUGGCCACCAGGAUAAGCAAAUAGAAGCUUCUGAAGCUUAGUGAUGACUCCCCCUCGUCCUAUGAAAUUCCUGUUUCUCGAAAAUGGAAGAUAAUGCAUCCUAGGCUCUUUUUAUGCGUAAGUCAGAAGGUGGUGGCAGAAUGAUGAACGGUCUGGUUACACUAACUAGUCGUUAAAUGCUUUCGCCUUAUAGAACAAUUACCAGUCAAAGCGUUAGUCUUCGGUUGAAUGGUAGUUAAACCUAGAAGUGCAACUUCAGCGACAGUAAUACGUGAAUAAGCUCACCCGCUACUCUUACCGAGAUCCGAUUUCCACGCUGUAAGUUCUCCGACAACCCUUUUAAAGCCAGUCUCUUCCGUAGACCCAAACUUAACCAUGUCUGCAUGAUUAGCAUGGAUAGUAAUUAGAUCAUAGCCCUCAAAUGUGGCUAAUUCCUUUAACACAACUUUGCCCACUGUAGAUAGAGGUAGUUCCUCAAAGAAACAGACGACCUCAAGCUGCCUUCCCGCCUCACAUUGCUCUCGCAUCAUAGAUAGAAAUCUGACAUAGAUCGACUCAAGAUAUUGAUUGUUUGU